AAGUCGUAACAAGGUUUCCGUAGGUGAACCUGCGGAAGGAUCACUAAAGUAAACGCCCUCCGGGGCUCUCUUUAAUUCACACACCCCUGUGCACUUUGGCCACAUGCCGCGCUUUACUGCGUUAGUAGGUGUGUCUUUAACUAUACACUAUAUACACAAGUCAUUGAAUGUAAAAUCGUUAUAAACUAAUAUAACUUUCAACAACGGAUCUCUUGGUUCUC
rnacentral:misc_RNA from 1 species